rnacentral:snRNA from 1 species
GUUUUCUCUUAGGAGACAUCCGAUAAAAUUGGAACGUGAUACAGAGAAGAUUAGCAUGGCCCUGCGCAAGGAUGACACGCUCAAAUCGAGAAAUGGUUCAUAUUAUU